UAUGAAGCUGACACAAGUGAUCAUUUCAUGCACUCAAAGGACGAGCCUUCAUCUAUUAUUUUACUCUUUUUGAGGGACUAAAAGAAGGCUAUAAGCAAGGUGAACUUUCUACAUGGAGCGGAGCUCACCCUCAUGAACGCUGCCAUUUUGAGAUCACAUGACAAUGAUGGAUUCAAUGGGUUCAAAGAGAAUGAGUAUGAGUGUCCAAAGAAGCAGACCCUGAUGGAGCAAUUAAUCAAACGAGUCUGACAAUCUGCAGCACCAGUGGGACACAACAAGGACAAAUAGCACUGGACCUCAAACGCCGAAGGCCACAAAGCAAAAAGACAGGUCUUACACUUCCCAUUCUCUCUCUUAAAGGCCAGAAUAGGAAGUCGACUGGACAAAUCGCAAGCCAACCUAAUAUGCAAAUAAAGUGAAACUCAUGUGCCUUCUGUUUUUGAAUACGAGCAGCCCUCAUUUCCAAAGGUGAAAAUGAAAAGCUGGAGAAAAAUGAAGCUCAAGCAAUGACUACAUUGAAACUAUAUUACUAAAAAAAGUACAAUGUUUGUUUUCUUCUUCCUACACUGGCGCCUGUUCUGUUUCUGAGGUGUCUAUUUAUACAUUUUCUGUGGAAAUACUUCUAUAUUUAUUGUCAAAAACUGAGAUUCAGUUCAUAAUAAGGCAAGCAUGACUAUUACUCAUAUCCAGGGUUAGGGCCACUAAAAAAAACAUAGUAAUAAUAACAGACACAUACAUAUGGAAAGUAAAUUGUCCCUUAUUUGCACUAUAGACAUGAAUGACAGCUCAAUUCAUGUGGCUUUUUGAGAUUUUUUUUUUUUUCAUAGUUACAAUUUUCACAUAAUGGACAAAAUCUAGCAAAAAAAAAAACAAAAAAAAUCCAGAUCUGGGUAAUAUCUGGAGAUCAGAAAAGAACUUGAGGGUGAGCUCUUUUUAAACAAACACCUAACAACACCCUAGCAACCACACAGCAACAUUCAAAAACACCUUAUCAACCUUAUAACAACAUCCUGGUGACAGGUCAAUACCUAAAAACAUUUAAAAAUUAAAAAUCUUCUUUGAUUUGAUUGGCCAUCUCAAACAUUUCGACAAUGACGAGCGCCGUUAUACUGCUAAGGCAAACCAGCCUAAAAAUUUGACAAACUUUUUGUCAUCCUAAGAACAAAGAGAGCAGGUGCGUAAUGGAGUGCAGCAUCAAGAAAAUCAAAUAUUUAG